rnacentral:rRNA from 1 species
AGAGUGAACGCUGGCGGUAGGCCUAACACAUGCAAGUCGAACGGCAGCACAGUAGGAGCUUGCUCUUACGGGUGGCGAGUGGCGGACGGGUGAGGAAUACAUCGGAAUCUACCUUUUGGUGGGGGAUAACGUAGGGAAACUUACGCUAAUACCGCAUACGCCCUUCGGGGGAAAGCCGGGACCAGCAAUGGCCUGGUGCUGAUAGAUGAGCCGAUGUCGGAUUAGCUAGUUGGUGAGGUAAUGGCUCACCAAGGCGACGAUCCGUAGCUGGUCUGAGAGGAUGAUCAGCCACACGUAGGAACUGACGA